UACCAAACCUUUUUGUCAGGGUGCUUCUCUAUCCGUUUUAGGAUAAACUUAUCUACAGAAGUGUCUGUUACUGUUUUGGAAGAGUAAUACUGUUCGCUUAUCCAUAUUUCCCCGUUCUGGGGAAGCCUAAUGGGUAAAUUAGAAGGACAACCUUUGUUUUAAAGGUAUACCUUCGCUUUUUAGAACAGUGAGGAUCUUAUGAGUUGAGCUUUUGUUACUUGAGACUUUAUCUCGGGCUCCAUACAAUAUGUUCGUAGUAAAAAUCCUCACAAUU
rnacentral:snoRNA from 1 species